UGCAGAAAUAUUUCCUUUUUCACAUCCUUAUUCCUCUAGUAAGUGGGGUUCUCCAUUUACAACAUGCUCACUCUUUUUUUGAUUUUCUUAAGCUGGAAGUUAGUGGCUAUAAUCACAAGUUGCAGGUAUUAUUGGAUACCAUCCUGAAAGCAAUGGCAGAUUUUACAGUGAAGCCAGAAAGAUUUUCUGUGAUCAAGGAGAAGUUGACAAAAAGUUAUCAGAAUUUCAAGUUUGAUGAGCCAAGAUAUCAUGCCUCAUAUUAUCGCUCUUUAAUGUUAAUGACCAUUCAUGGCCUUGGGAGGAAGAUCUAGAAAUACUUGAGACUUUUCAGCCUGAAGACCUUUCUCGAUUUGCACCUACAAUGCUUUCGAGAGCAUUCUUAGAGUGUUACAUAGCAGAUCCAUCAAGAUGACAUUACUUUGAACGUACAACUUCAGCUUUUGGCUUUUAUUGCAAGGCAUGAAGCCUUCUCAGUAGUGACUGAGCAAA